rnacentral:tRNA from 1 species
GGGCGGUUAGCGAAACGGUUAAACGCGGCAGACUGUAAAUCUGUUCCUUCGGGUUCAGUGGUUCGAAUCCACUACUGCCCA